AGGCCACCCCGAGCCUCGUUCAUCACCAACACCACUCCACCACCAUCGCAAUCUACCUCCCGCACACCACCUCGACCUCGAGAAGGUUGUCUUCCCCGGAUCCGACUACCGGUCCGCCGCCACCCUCCCCGAUCAGCACGACACCACUACUACACCUCCACCUCCAAAAAUCUGCCAGUAGCCCACUGAUCCACCAUGUGAUCGUUUUCGCGCUUCAAUUUGACAACCUGAGCCCUCUCCGUUGAUGCGCACAACCACCCGACGCCGCCGUCCGCCGGAGUCAACCUCGCCGUUGUUCUGGUGCUCGCCGGUGACCACCACGACCACCCACCGACACAGGGCGCCACCCUGAACACGUCCCGACCAUCGCCGCUGACCUGGAGGAGGAUGAGCUUGCAGAGGAGGACUGCGCAAACGAGCCCAACACGUAGAGGUGUUCCCAGUCAGUCACCUGUGGAUUUGGAGUCUACCACGUGUAUCAUCCACUAGUGCUUCCGCUACACAAAUAAAAUAGUCAAGCCUCACCCUGAUGCUUGGCUUACUUUAUUGUAUUGGUGCUAUAUCACCGUCACCCACUGUCAUAUUCCACGGCCACCUGUUUUACAAGUUUGUACCAGAUUGUAGAGCACUCUGGCUCAACCCGAUGUAAUAUUAUUUGUGUACUGGUUAUCUAUAUCAAGGAAGUCCACCAGCAGUCCUGAUCUUGGGGCUGGUGGGACUUUGGGCUAUUCUGUGAUUUAUUACGGAAGUGAGCCUGACAAGCACAUGUAGAGGAUGGCUAUUCCUUUUGAUGGGACU